AGCUUUGUGCAGUGUCAGCAUCGUAGCCAAUGAGAUUUAGCUAAGGCAUGAUUAUUGCUAACUGAAAAAAAAGUGAACAAAGCUGGGUGUGGUGGUGCAUACCUUUAAUCCCAGCACUUAGGAGGCAAAGGUAGGAGGAUCACUAUAAAU
rnacentral:snRNA from 1 species